rnacentral:rRNA from 1 species
CUCGCGGCCUAUCAGCUUGAUGGUGAGGUAUUGGCUCACCAAGGCAUUGACGGGUAGCCGGCCUGAGAGGGUGACCGGCCACACUGGGACUGAGACACGGCCCAGACUCCUACGGGAGGCAGCAGUGGGGAAUAUUGGACAAUGGGCGAAAGCCUGAUCCAGCAACGCCGCGUGAGGGAUGACGGCCUUCGGGUUGUAAACCUCUUUCAGUAGGGACGAAGCGAAAGUGACGGUACCUACAGAAGAAGGACCGGCCAACUACGUGCCAGCAGCCGCGGUAAUACGUAGGGUCCGAGCGUUGUCCGGAAUUAUUGGGCGUAAAGGGCUCGUAGGCGGUUUGUCGCGUCGGGAGUGAAAACUCAGGGCUCAACCCUGAGCGUGCUUCCGAUACGGGCAGACUAGAGGUAUGCAGGGGAGAACGGAAUUCCUGGUGUAGCGGUGGAAUGCGCAGAUAUCAGGAGGAACACCGGUGGCGAAGGCGGUUCUCUGGGCAUUACCUGACGCUGAGGAGCGAAAGCAUGGGGAGCGAACAGGAUUAGAUACCCUGGUAGUCCAUGCCGUAAACGUUGGGCGCUAGGUGUGGGGACCUUCCACGGUCUCCGUGCCGCAGCUAACGCAUUAAGCGCCCCGCCUGGGGAGUACGGCCGCAAGGCUAAAACUCAAAGGAAUUGACGGGGGGCCCGCACAAGCGGCGGAGCAUGCUGAAUAAUUCCGAUGCAAC